GAUGAACGCUGGCGGCGUGCCUAAUACAUGCAAGUCGAGCGAACAGACGAGGAGCUUGCUCCUCUGACGUUAGCGGCGGACGGGUGAGUAACACGUGGAUAACCUACCUAUAAGACUGGGAUAACUUCGGGAAACCGGAGCUAAUACCGGAUAAUAUAUUGAACCGCAUGGUUCAAUAGUGAAAGACGGUUUUGCUGUCACUUAUAGAUGGAUCCGCGCCGCAUUAGCUAGUUGGUAAGGUAACGGCUUACCAAGGCAACGAUGCGUAGCCGACCUGAGAGGGUGAUCGGCCAAACUGGAACUGGGACACGGUCCAGACUCCUACGGGAGGCAGCAGUAGGGAAUCUUCCGCAAUGGGCGAAAGCUUGACGGAGCAACGCCGCGUGGGUGAUGAAGGUCUUCGGAUCGUAAAACUCUGUUAUUAGGGAAGAACAAAUGUGUAAGUAACUAUGCACGUCUGGACGGUACCUAAGCAGAAAGCCACGGCUAACUACGU
rnacentral:rRNA from 1 species